rnacentral:piRNA from 1 species
UGCAGAAGGCAAAUCCAGAUU